rnacentral:rRNA from 8 species
CUGCUCCUAGUACGAGAGGACCGGAGUGGACGCAUCACUGGUGUUCGGGUUGUCAUGCCAAUGGCACUGCCCGGUAGCUAAAUGCGGAAGAGAUAAGUGCUGAAAGCAUCUAAGCACGAAACUUGCCCCGAGAUGAGUUCUCCCUGAGACUUAGAGUCUCCUGAAGGAACGUUGAAGACGACGACGUUGAUAGGCCGGGUGUGUAAGCGCAGCGAUGCGUUGAGCUAACCGGUACUAAUGAACCGUGAGGCUUAACCUUACAACGCCGAAG